rnacentral:rRNA from 1 species
UACAGAGGGUGCAAGCGUUAAUCGGAAUUACUGGGCGUAAAGCGUGCGCAGUCGGCAAUUUAAGUCGGGUGUGAAAUCCCCGGGCUCAACCUGGGAAUUGCAUUCGAUACUGGAUCGCUAGAGUUCGGCAGAGGAAAGUGGAAUUUCUGGUGUAGCGGUGAAAUGCGUAGAUAUCAGAAGGAACAUCAGUGGCGAAAGCGACUUCCUGGACCAGAACUGACGAUCAGGCACGAAAGCGUGGGGAGCAAACAGG